rnacentral:rRNA from 1 species
UACGUAGGGGGCAAGCGUUGUCCGGAUUCAUUGGGCGUAAAGAGCGUGUAGGCGGCCAGGUAGGUCGGUUGUGAAAACUGGAGGCUACAACCUUCAGAGGUCGACCGAAACCAUCUGGCUAGAGUCCGGGAGAGGAGAGUGGAAUUCCUGGUGUAGCGGUGAAAUGCGCAGAUAUCAGGAAGAACACCCGUGGCGAAAGCGGCUCUCUGGAACGGUACUGACGCUGAGACGCGAAAGCGUGGGGAGCGAACAGG